rnacentral:rRNA from 1 species
ACGGAAGGCAGCAGUAGGGAAUCUUGCGCAAUGGGCGAAAGCCUGACGCAGCGACGCCGCGUGCGGGAAGAAGGCCUUCGGGUUGUAAACCGCUUUCAGGAGGGACGAAGCCACUCGGGUUAAUAGCCCAGAGGGUGACGGUACCUCCAGAAGAAGCCCCGGCUAACUACGUGCCAGCAGCCGCGGUAAUACGUAGGGGGCAAGCGUUGUCCGGAUUCAUUGGGCGUAAAGAGCGUGUAGGCGGCCAGGUAGGUCGGUUGUGAAAACUGGAGGCUCAACCUUCAGACGUCGACCGAAACCAUCUGGCUAGAGUCCGGGAGAGGAGAGUGGAAUUCCUGGUGUAGCGGUGAAAUGCGCAGAUAUCAGGAAGAACACCCGUGGCGAAAGCGGCUCUCUGGAACGGUACUGACGCUGAGACGCGAAAGCGUGGGGAGCGAACAGGAUUAGAUACCCUGGUA